rnacentral:lncRNA from 1 species
UUGAACUAAUUUGGAAAGUCUUGAAAGAAAUAUCUAGCACCCAUGAUCCAUUGGGAUAUUUUUGUCAAGUAUAGAUUCUCAUCAUUCGAGAGUUCACCAAAUACCAACCCUCCAUGGUAUUUGUUAAGCAUGGAUCCAUCAUUUUUUUUACCAUCUCUUUCUUCUCAUUUUCAUACCAAACAUGGUAAUCUGAUAUAGGAAUUAUUUUUUCAUACUAUAUUAUCCCCAA